UAAAGAAAUAAGUUAAUUAAACUAUUAACCUUCAAAGUUAAAAUUGGUAAUCCUUUCUUUG
rnacentral:tRNA from 1 species